AUCCGGGCGGCCAUCGCAGAACCGCUCCUGGGGCAGGCUGCGGACGUGCUUUGGGCUCCAACACUGCUCUUCGUGCGGGCUGCACGGCAGGCCGGACGCUGAAUCCGGAGGAGAAGCAGGAUACCAUAGUGCAGUACAGUGUCUAUAGGAAAGAGCCUGACUAAAAAUGCAACUAUUUCUGCGAUAGAAUGAACAGACUGUACACUAGCAAUAAUACUACACAACAAUUCUUCGAAGGAGAAAAGCUGGUCCAAUAAAAGAUAUUACCUCACCCACCUGAUCUCUCUAAUAUCCUGGGACCAACAUGGCUACAACAACACUGCAUAUAGCUCCGAGUUGUAAGUCUCAUUCUGACUAUGGUACCUUUUGCAGAACUGCACCCUCUAGCACCAUACAGAGCCACUGUUUUAAUAAUGAUUCAGACAAAGUAUCACCAGCUCUAAUUUGUACACGACCUGUGUUUUGAGGAUUCAUCCCAGGAGUGAUUAGGCUCGAAUCUGUUUAUCUUGUGAGAGCUGAUGAGUUCACACCUCAAGA